rnacentral:rRNA from 1 species
GGGUUGUGAGGUUAAGCGACUAAGCGUACACGGUGGAUGCCCUGGCAGUCAGAGGCGAUGAAGGACGUGCUAAUCUGCGAUAAGCGUCGGUAAGGUGAUAUGAACCGUUAUAACCGGCGAUUUCCGAAUGGGGAAACCCAGUGUGAUUCGUCACACUAUCAUUAACUGAAUCCAUAGGUUAAUGAGGCGAACCGGGGGAACUGAAACAUCUAAGUACCCCGAGGAAAAGAAAUCAACCGAGAUUCCCCCAGUAGCGGCGAGCGAACGGGGAGCAGCCCAGAGCCUGAAUCAGUGUGUGUGUUAGUGGAAGCGUCUGGAAAGGCGCGCGAUACAGGGUGACAGCCCCGUACACAAAAAUGCACAUGCUGUGAGCUCGAUGAGUAGGGCGGGACACGUGGUAUCCUGUCUGAAUAUGGGGGGACCAUCCUCCAAGGCUAAAUACUCCUGACUGACCGAUAGUGAACCAGUACCGUGAGGGAAAGGCGAAAAGAACCCCGGCGAGGGGAGUGAAAAAGAACCUGAAACCGUGUACGUACAAGCAGUGGGAGCACUCUUAUGCGGGUGACUGCGUACCUUUUGUAUAAUGGGUCAGCGACUUAUAUUCUGUAGCAAGGUUAACCGAAUAGGGGAGCCGAAGGGAAACCGAGUCUUAACUGGGCGUUAAGUUGCAGGGUAUAGACCCGAAACCCGGUGAUCUAGCCAUGGGCAGGUUGAAGGUUGGGUAACACUAACUGGAGGACCGAACCGACUAAUGUUGAAAAAUUAGCGGAUGACUUGUGGCUGGGGGUGAAAGGCCAAUCAAACCGGGAGAUAGCUGGUUCUCCCCGAAAGCUAUUUAGGUAGCGCCUCGUGAAUUCAUCUCCGGGGGUAGAGCACUGUUUCGGCAAGGGGGUCAUCCCGACUUACCAACCCGAUGCAAACUGCGAAUACCGGAGAAUGUUAUCACGGGAGACACACGGCGGGUGCUAACGUCCGUCGUGAAGAGGGAAACAACCCAGACCGCCAGCUAAGGUCCCAAAGUCAUGGUUAAGUGGGAAACGAUGUGGGAAGGCCCAGACAGCCAGGAUGUUGGCUUAGAAGCAGCCAUCAUUUAAAGAAAGCGUAAUAGCUCACUGGUCGAGUCGGCCUGCGCGGAAGAUGUAACGGGGCUAAACCAUGCACCGAAGCUGCGGCAGCGACGCUUAUGCGUUGUUGGGUAGGGGAGCGUUCUGUAAGCCUGUGAAGGUGUGCUGUGAGGCAUGCUGGAGGUAUCAGAAGUGCGAAUGCUGACAUAAGUAACGAUAAAGCGGGUGAAAAGCCCGCUCGCCGGAAGACCAAGGGUUCCUGUCCAACGUUAAUCGGGGCAGGGUGAGUCGACCCCUAAGGCGAGGCCGAAAGGCGUAGUCGAUGGGAAACAGGUUAAUAUUCCUGUACUUGGUGUUACUGCGAAGGGGGGACGGAGAAGGCUAUGUUGGCCGGGCGACGGUUGUCCCGGUUUAAGCGUGUAGGCUGGUUUUCCAGGCAAAUCCGGAAAAUCAAGGCUGAGGCGUGAUGACGAGGCACUACGGUGCUGAAGCAACAAAUGCCCUGCUUCCAGGAAAAGCCUCUAAGCAUCAGGUAACAUCAAAUCGUACCCCAAACCGACACAGGUGGUCAGGUAGAGAAUACCAAGGCGCUUGAGAGAACUCGGGUGAAGGAACUAGGCAAAAUGGUGCCGUAACUUCGGGAGAAGGCACGCUGAUA